rnacentral:rRNA from 1 species
UACGUAGGUGGCUAGCGUUAUUCGGAUUCACUGGGCGUAAAGGGUCCGUAGGGGGUUUGUCAAGUCGGGUGUGAAAUCCCGUCGCUCAACGGCGGAACGGCACUGGAAACUGACGAACUCGAGUUCAUGAAGGGAGAGCGGAAUUCCUGGUGUAGCGGUGGAAUGCGUAGAUAUCAGGAGGAACACCCGCGGCGAAGGCGGCUCUCUGGCGUGCAACUGACCCUGAAGGACGAAAGCGUGGGGAG